rnacentral:rRNA from 1 species
AGUAAAUUGGUUAAGUUAGAAAGGGCGCACGGUGGAUGCCUUGGCACUAGGAGCCGAAGAAGGACGGGACUAACACCGAUAUGCUUUGGGGAGCUGUACGUAAGCGUUGAUCCAGAGAUUUCCGAAUGGGGGAACCCACUAUCUUUAGUCGGAUAGUAUCCUUACGUGAAUACAUAGCGUGAGGAAGGCAGACCCAGGGAACUGAAACAUCUAAGUACCUGGAGGAAGAGAAAGAAAAAUCGAUUUCCUGAGUAGCGGCGAGCGAAACGGAAAGAGCCCAAACCAAGAAGCUUGCUUCUUGGGGUUGUAGGACACUCUAUACGGAGUUACAAAAGAAAGUUAUAAAUGAAGCGGUCUGGAAAGGCCCGCCAAAGACGGUAACAGCCCGGUAGUUGAAAUGGCUUUCCCUCCAGAGUG